GUCCACGCCCUAAACGAUGUCAACUAGUUGUCGGGGAAGUUAUUCCUUGGUAACGAAGCUAACGCGUGAAGUUGACCGCCUGUGGAGUACGGCCGCAAGGUUAAAACUCAAAGGAAUUGACGGGGACCCGCACAAGCGGUGGAUUAUGUGGAUUAAUUCGAUGCAACGCGAAAAACCUUACCUACCCUUGACAUGUCAGGAACCUCGCAGAGAUGUGAGGGUGCCCGAAAGGGAACCUGAACACAGGUGCUGCAUGGCUGUCGU
rnacentral:rRNA from 1 species